rnacentral:sRNA from 1 species
AAAAUGCGGGCAAUUAUUUCGGUUGCUAAGUCGAUUCUGGGCAAUCGACGUGGCGACGACGAGAGUCUCUACACUGGCGCUGGACCUGCCGGAUCGGGAGCUUCCCACUCGUUUCGUGUCUAUAUUCAUGGAAAUCGCAAGAAAAAUGAGCUCGUUCAUGGUGUGUGGGCUUUUUUUGCGAAGGAAUUGGCCUAGAAUAGUCGAAAAGUCGAAAAAUUCAAGUUUCCUCCAAAAUGGAUGCUGCCGGACCAAUCAGCAUCGUCAAACUCCGCCCAGUUUAUCUUAUUGGUUGAAAAGUGGGCGGAGCAAGUCGCUGAUUGGUCGUGGAGCUCUACUUUUGGAGGGAGUUCAAAAAAUGGUUUUUUUAACCAAAAAUUCAAUUUUUUUGCAGCCUGGCUUCGCGUGACCCGAACCACAAUCACGCUGGAGAUCUCGAAAAAGGAAUGCCUAGUAUGGCCGCUGCCACUGAUCCGCCGAUACGGAUACACUUCUGCCGGAAUUUUCUUCUUCGAAUCUGGAAGACGGUGCGAGUCUGGAGAGGGAAUGUUCACGUUUCAGAGCAAAAAAGCUGAUGAGAUAUUUCAGGUAAAAAAUUGAGAAAUUUUGGUGUAAAAUUCAUGAAAAAUGAGAAAUUUUGGUGUAAAAAUAGUGAAAAAUGAGAAAUUUUUGCAUAAAAAUCGUCAAAAAUCAAUAUUUUCAACGUUGGUCUGCUAGGCUACAAACUACAAAAGUAUUUAGCAGACCGAAACAUUAAAAUCUUUUUUUCGAGUUUUAGAGCAUUUUUAAUAAAUUGAUUUUUUUUUGUUUUUAGUGUAAAAUAUGCUUAUUCUCAAGUAGUAAUUUAAUUGAAAAAUCAAAAUUUAAAUUCAAAAAAACACUGAAAAUGGAUAUUUUUGAACUUGGGUCUGCUAGGCUACAAACUACAAAAAAUAUUUAGCAGACCGAAAAAUUAAUGUUUUUUCCGAGUUUUAGAGCAUUUUUAAUGAAAUUUUUUUGUAUUUUUUUUUUGCUGAGAACACCUAAAAAAUCCAACAUUUUCAAAAUUGAAAAAAAAAAUUUCCAGCUCAUCCAAUCACUGAUAGAAGAGUUCGCCAACACGUCAAUGGAGAAACAGAAUAUGGAAAAUAGUUUCCGGUACCAGCGACAGCAAUCCGUACCGAUCAGCUCUCGGAGAAUGUCAAAUACGAG